GGACUACCGGGGUAUCUAAUCCUGUUUGCUCCCCACGCUUUCGCACCUCAGCGUCAGAACCGGGCCAGUGAGCCGCCUUCGCCACUGGUGUUCUUCCGAAUAUCUACGAAUUUCACCUCUACACUCGGAAUUCCACUCACCUCUCCCGGUCUCGAGACAUCCAGUAUCAAAGGCAAUUCUUGGGUUGAGCCCAAGGCUUUCACCUCCAACUUAAAUGUCCGCCUACGUGCGCUUUACGCCCAGUAAUUCCGAACAACGCUAGCCCCCUUCGUAUUACCGCGGCUGCUGGCAC
rnacentral:rRNA from 1 species